CCUACGGGAGGCAGCAGUAGGGAAUAUUGCUCAAUGGGGGAAACCCUGAAGCAGCAACGCCGCGUGGAGGAUGAAGGUUUUCGGAUUGUAAACUCCUGUUGUUAGAGAAGAUAAUGACGGUAUCUAACGAAUAAGAACCGGCUAACCCCGUGCCAGCAGCCGCGGUAAUACGGUGGGGGAAAGCGUUACUCGGAAUCACUGUGCGUAAAGAUCGCGUAGGCGGGUUAGCAAGUCAGAUGUGAAAUCCUAUGGCUUAACCAUAGAACUGCAUUUGAAACUGUUAUACUAGAGAAUGGGAGAGGUAGGUGGAAUACUUGGUGUAGGGGUAAAAGACGUAGAGAUCAAGAGGAAUACUCAUUGCGAAGGCGCACUGCUAGAACAUAACUGACGCUGAUGCGCGAAAGCGUGGGGAGCAAACAGGAUUAGAUACCCCGUGUAGUC
rnacentral:rRNA from 1 species